rnacentral:lncRNA from 10 species
AACCGCCCAACGGCUGAGGAGUGCGGCAGCGCGCCAGAGACUGGCGGGCAGCUCCGCCCGCGGCCGGGAUGCACUAGGCAAAGCCAGCUGGGCUCCUGAGUCCGGUGGGUACUUGGAGAACUUACUACGUCUAGCUGGAGGAUUGUAAAUGCACCAAUCAGCAUGCUGUGUCUAGCUCAAGAUUUUCUCCGUCCCCUUAUUUUGGGCCAGUGGCUGUCAUUACAUAUGAGAUGAGUCUCUUGAAGACUACAGAUGAGAGCAGUCAUGAUGGCCUGCACUCCACACAAUGCAACAGAGUGAAAGAGCAGGUUCUGCUUCUUUGGUGUAGUCCUGAAGCUUCCUAAGAAACUUCACAUCAGGUGAUGGAUAGGAGCAACCCUGUAAAACCAGCCUUAGACUAUUUUUCAAACAGAUGAAGUGUUUAUAAGUCAUCCCAAGGAAGAAACAAUUCAGAUGAGAACUAUUCAAUGGAUUUGCAAUAACAAUCCAAAGAUGGAAGAAAACACUUCCAGGGCUGGUGAAUUACCAUAUCUCCGUCAAGUGCAGUAACCAG